UCCGUGUCCAACAUUUAAGUUUCCGUGUCCAACAUUUGAAUGUCCGUUUUAUAUGAAUUUUUUCAUAAUUAGUAUUUUUAUUGUUGUUAGAUGAUAAAACAUAAUUAGUACUUUAUACGUGACUUAUCUUUUUAAUUUUUUUCAUAAUUUUUUUAAAUAAGACGAACGGUCAAAUGUUGGAAAUAAAAACCUAGGAUUUGUCUUUUU
rfam:Oryza sativa Japonica Group DNA, chromosome 6, cultivar: Nipponbare, complete sequence.